UGGCUCAGAACAAACGCUGGCGGCGUGCCUAACACAUGCAAGUCGUACGAGAAAUCCUGGGCAACUGGGAGAGUAAAGUGGCGCACGGGUGAGUAACGCGUGGGUAACCUGCCCUUGAAUUGGGGAUAACUCCGCGAAAGCGAAGUUAAUACCGAAUGAUAUUCCGAUUUCUCCGGAGGUUGGAAUCAAAGGUGGCCUCUGCAUGCAAGCUACUGUUCAAGGAUGGGCCCGCGUACCAUUAGCUUGUUGGUAGGGUAACGGCCUACCAAGGCAUCGAUGGUUAGCUGGUCUGAGAGGAUGGCCAGCCACACUGGAACUGAGACACGGUCCAGACUCCUACGGGAGGCAGCAGUGGGGAAUCUUGCGCAAUGGGGGAAACCCUGACGCAGCAACGCCGCGUGGGUGAUGAAGGCCUUCGGGUCGUAAAGCCCUGUCAGGUGGGAAGAACCGUAUCGGUACAAACAGUGCCGAUGCUUGACGGUACCACCGGAGGAAGCACCGGCUAACUCCGUGCCAGCAGCCGCGGUAA
rnacentral:rRNA from 1 species